CUAGUCAGGGAUAUUGCUGCCAUCACAUGGAUAUGAUCUCACUGAGAAUGAAACUAACGUAGAAGAAAGCAAAGAUAAGAGAGGGGAGAGCAAGCGCACAAGAGUUUGAACUAGGUUUCCUGAUGCUUGUCUGCAAAAGAUUAUUCACUGAUAUCGAGAGAGAUGUUACUUGUUGAAGUAAAGAGUGAAGAUUUGUUCUACAUCCUAUUCUCUUACCUCCUGUGCUGCACUGAAGGAAGGAGCAGAGCUGAAAAUGAACUUGAUAAAAUACACAAGAUUAAAAUUAUUAUACAAAAAUAAAAUAGAUUUGAGAACCAGAGCAAUGUCCAAUGCUUGUGAUGAAUCUUAGAUAAAUAAUGGCUGCUAGACAAAUAAAAAGGACAAUAUUCUGAAAGAAAAA
ensembl:lncRNA novel transcript